rnacentral:rRNA from 1 species
AACGCGAAGAACCUUACCUACCCUUGACAUCCUCGGAAUUUGCUAGAGAUAGCGAAGUGCCUUCGGGAGCCGAGAGACAGGUGCUGCAUGGCUGUCGUCAGCUCGUGUCGUGAGAUGUUGGGUUAAGUCCCGUAACGAGCGCAACCCCUGUCCUUAGUUGCCACAGGUAAAGCUGGGAACUCUAAGGAGACUGCCGGUGAUAAGCCGGAGGAAGGUGGGGAUGACGUCAAGUCCUCAUGGCCCUUACGGGUAGGGCUACACACGUGCUACAAUGGGCGGUACAAAGGGAAGCGAAACCGCGAGGUGGAGCGAAUCUUAUAAAAGCUGCCCGUAGUCCGGAUUGGAGUCUGCAACUCGACUCCAUGAAGUUGGAAUCGCUAGUAAUCGCGGAUCAGAACGCCGCGGUGAAUACGUUCCCGGGCCUUGUACACACCGACGCAC